rnacentral:rRNA from 1 species
UAUAGUUUAUUUGAUAAUUGAAUUCUACAUGGAUAACCGUGGUAAUUCUAGAGCUAAUACAUGCUGUAAAACCUGACUUUUUGGAAAGGUUGUAUUUAUUAGAUAUGAAACCAAUAUUCCUCCGGGUCUAUUGUGAUGAUUCAUAAUAACUGAUCGGAGCGCGGCUAGGCCGCGCUAAAUCAUUCAAGUUUCUGACCUAUCAGCUUCCGACGGUAGGGUAUUGGCCUACCGUGGCUAUGACGGGUAACGGAGAAUUAGGGUUUGAUUCCGGAGAGGGAGCCCGAGAAACGGCUACCACA